GAGUAGCUCAGACCCAUGUUGUGGGAGACGAUUGCGGCGGCACUCGGAACUUUUGUCUACCUUUGUACCCGGCUAACACUCACCCCAAAUACAGGUUGAGUGUAUUUAACCAGGAAAAAAAUCUUAGUUAUCGAAACUUUGUUCGGGUUUUUACUUUCCCAGAAGCUUUUUUCAGGGCCCUCAUUCUUUCUACCCUUUUAUUGUCUGCCUCUAGAUGAGCCUCUUAGAGCAGCUUCCCAGAUUAUCCGUGGGGAAGAACAGGUUCUUUAUUAGAUUAUCCGUGGGGAAGAAUGGGUUCUUUAUUUUUCCAAUCUGUCAGUAAAAGGUACUUCUAUAAAAUACAGUAAAAAUGAAUUAGUAGAAAAAUGGGGAAAAUAUGUGCAAAAUACAAGCCCAAAUUUUUUAUUAGUUUCAAAUAAAUGUAAAAUUGCAUUUCAAUGUAUGCAAUCAGAACAAACAUAAUAGAAAAUAAAGGCAUUAACAGAAACUGUACAUACUGUUCAUUGAAAGUGUAGUAUAAGCGAUUGAGCAUUGUCUUAACAUUUGUAACUUGUCAUUCCACGGCUGUAAUUUGAUAAAAAGUUAUGCAUGAAACAGUUGUCCGUAUAUUAAAUGCAUGUAAAAGCAUUUUGAACAAGCACCAUGUAUGUAAUAUUUAAAGUUUUGGGGGAGGUUCCAAAGUGGCCGAAUAGGAACAGCUCCAGUCUACAGCUCCCAGCAUGAGCAACGCAGAAGAUGGGUGAUUUCUGCAUUUCCAACUGAGGUACCGGGUUCAUCUCACUGGGGCUUCUCAGACACUGGGUGCAGCCCACAGAGCAGGGCGAGGCAUGACCUCACCCGGGAAGCACAAGGGAUCAGGGAAUUCCCUUUCUUAGCAAAGGGAAGCCAUGAUAGACGGUACCUGGAAAAUUGGGACACUCCCAUCCUAAUACUGUGCUUUUCCAACGGUCUUAGCAAACGGCACACCAGAAGAUUAUAUCCCGUGACUGGCUCAGAGGGUCCCACGCCCACGGAGCCUGGCUCACUGCUACCACAGCAGUCUGAGAUCAAACUGCAAGGCAGCAGCGAGGCUGGGGGAGGGGCGUCUGCCAUUGCUGAGGCUUAAGUAGAUAAACAAAGUGGCCAGGAAGCUUGAACUGGGUGGAGCCCAUCGCAGCUCAAGGAGGCCUGCCUGCCUCUGUAGACCCCACCUCUGGGGGCAAGGCAUAGCUGAACAAAAGGCAGCAGAAAGUUCUGCAGACUUAAAUGUCCGUCUGACAGCUUUGAAGAGAGUAGUGCUUCUCCCAGCACGGAGUUUGAGAUCUGAGAACGGACAGACUGUCUCCUCAAGUGGGUCCCUGACCCCCGAGUAGCCUAACUGGGAGACACCUCCCAGCAGGGGCCAACUGACACCUCAUACAGCUGGGUGCCCCUCUGAGAUGAAGCUUCCAGAGGAAGGAUCAGGCAGCAAUAUUUGCCAUUCUGCAAUAUUUGCUGUUCUGCAGCCUCCGAUGGUGACACCCAGGCAAACAGGGUCUAGAGUGGACCUUCAGCAAACUCCAACAGACCUGCAGCUGAGGGUCCUGACUGUUAGAAGGAAAACUAACAAAAAGAAAAGACAUCCACACCAAAAACCCAUCUGUACGUCACCAUCAUCAAAGACCAAAGGUAGAUAAAACCACAAAGAUGGGGAUAAAUCAGAGCAGAAAAGCCGAAAAUUCUAAAAAUCAGAGCGCCUCUUCUCCUCCAAAGGAAUGCAGCUCCUCACCAGCAAUGGAACAAACCUGGACAGAGAAUGACUUUGACAAAUUGAGAGAAGAAAGCUUCAGACGACUGGUAAUAACAAACUUCUCCGAGCUAAAGGAGGAUGUUUGAACCCAUUGCAAAGAAGCUAAAAACCUUGAAAAAAGAUUAGACGAAUGGCUAACUAGAAUAAACAGUGUAGAGAAGUCCUUAAAUGACUGAUGGAACUGAAAAUCGUGGCACGAGAAGAACGUGACGCAUGCACAAGCUUCAGUAGCCGAUUUGAUCAAGUGGAAGAAAGAGUAUCAGUGAUUGAAGAUCAAAUGAAUGAAAUGAAGCAAGAAGAGAAGUUUAGAGAAAAAAGAGUAAAAAGAAAUGAACAAAGCCUCCAAGAAAUAUGAGACUUUGUGAAAAGACCAAAUCUGCAUCUGAAUUGUGUACCUGAAAGUGACUGGGAGAAUGGAACCAAGUUGGAAAACACUCUUCAGGAUAUCAUCCAGGAGAACUUCCCCAACCUAGUGAAGCUGGCCAACAUGCAAAUUCAGGAAAUACAGAGAACACCACAAAGAUACUCGUCGAGAAGAGCAACUCCAAGACACAUAAUUGUCAGAUUCACCAAAGUUGAAAUGAAGGAAAAAAUGUUAAGGGCAGCCAGAAAGGUCAGGUUACCCACAAAGGGAAGCCCAUCAUAGUAACAGCUGAUCUCUCGGCAGAAACUCUACAAGCCAGAAGAGAGUGGGGGCCAAUAUUCAACAUUCUUAAAGAAAAGAAUUUUCAACCCAGAAUAUCAUAUCCAGCCAAACUAAGCUUCAUAAGUGAAGGAGAAAUAAAAUCCUUUACAGACAAAUAUACUGAGAGAUUUUGUCACCACCAGGCCUGCCUUACAAGAACUCCUGAAGGAAGCACUAAAGAUGGAAAGGAACAACUGGUACCAGCCACUGCAAAAACAUGCCAAUUGUAAAGGCCAUCAAUGCUAGGAAGAAACUGCAUCAACUAAUGAGCGAAAUAACCAGCUAACAUCAUAAUGACAGGAUCAAAUUCACACAUAACAAUAUUAACCUGAAAUGUAAAUGGGCUAAAUGCUCCAAUUAAAAGACAUAGACUGGCAGAUUGGAUAAAGAGUCAAGACCCAUCAGUGUGCUGUAUUCAGGAGACCCAACUCACAUUCAGAGACACACAUAGGCUAAAAUAAAGGGCUGGAGGACGAUCUACCAAGCAAAUGGAAAACAAAAAAAAGCAGGAGUUGCAAUCCUAAUCUCUGAUAAACCAGACUUUAAACCAACAAAGAUCAAAAGAGACAAAGAAGGCCAUUACAUAAUGGUAAAUGGAUCAAUUCAAUAGGAAGAGCUAACUAUACUACCUAUACAUGCACCCAAUACAGGAGCACCCAGAUUCAUAAAGCAAGCCCUUAGAGACCUAUAAAGAGACUUAGACUCCCACACAAUAAUAAUGGGAGACUUUAACACCCCACUGUCAAUAUUAGACAGAUCAACGAGACAGAAAGUUAACAAGGAUAUCCAGGAAUUGAACUCAGCUCUGCACCAAGCAGACCUAGUAGACAUCUACAGAAAUCUCCACCCCAAAUUAACAGAAUAUACAUUCUUCUCAGCACCACAUCACACUUAUUCCAAAAUUGACCACAUAUUUAGAAGUAAAGUACUCCUCAGCAAAUGUAAAAGAACAGAAAUUAUAACAAACUGUCUCUCAGGCCACAGUGCAAUCAAACUAGAACUCAGGAUUAAGAGACUCACUCAAAACCGCUUAACUACAUGGAAACAGAACAACCUGCUCCUGAAUGACUACUGGGUACAUAACAAAAUGAAGGCAG
rnacentral:lncRNA from 10 species